UACGGGGGGGGCAAGCGUUGUUCGGAAUUACUGGGCGUAAAGGGCUCGUAGGCGGCCAACUAAGUCAGACGUGAAAUCCCUCGGCUUAACCGGGGAACUGCAUCUGAUACUGGAUGGCUUGAGUUCGGGAGAGGGAUGCGGAAUUCCAGGUGUAGCGGUGAAAUGCGUAGAUAUCUGGAGGAACACCGGUGGCGAAGGCGGCAUCCUGGACCGGCACUGACGCUGAGGGGCGAAAGCCAGGGGAGCAAACGGG
rnacentral:rRNA from 1 species